AUUGAACGCUGGCGGCAGGCCUAACACAUGCAAGUCGAACGAGGGGCGGACGGGUGCGUAAUGUCCGGGAAACUGCCUGAUGGAGGGGGAAAACCACUGGAAACGGUAGCCAAUACCGCAUAGUAUCGGUUGUGCCCAGAUGGGAUUAGCUAGUAGGUGGGGUAAAGGCUCAACUAGGCCACGAUCCUUAGCUGGUCUGAGAGGAUGACCAGCCACACUGGAACUGAGACACGGUCCAGACUCCUACGGGAGGCAGCAGUGGGGAAUUUUGGACAAUGGGGGCAAGCCUGAUGCAGCCAUGCCGCGUGUAUGAAGAAGGCCUUCGGGUUGUAAAGUACUUUCAUCGGGGAAGCGUUACCCGCAGAAGAAGCACCGGCUAACUACGUGCCAGCAGCCGCGGUAAUUC
rnacentral:rRNA from 1 species